rnacentral:lncRNA from 1 species
AUUUUUAUUACUUUUUUUAUCUUUAGCAACAUCUUCAUCUGCAAUGAGUGCUCUAGUUCCAUCCUCAAUUGCAUUGAGUGUUCCAUCUACAUCUGCAAUAAUUGUUACAUCUUCAGCUGCUACAAGUGA